AUGAACGCUGGCGGCGCGCCUAAUACAUGCAAGUCGAGCGAGAAGACGUAGCAAUACGUUUGUAAAGCGGCGAACGGGUGAGGAAUACAUGGGUAACCUACCCUCGAGUGGGGAAUAACUAGCCGAAAGGUUAGCUAAUACCGCGUACGCUCCUUGGACUUCGGUUCAGGGAGGAAAGCGAUACCGUGGGUAUCGCGCUCUUGGUUGGGCUCAUGUCCUAUCAGCUUGUUGGUGAGGAACGGCUCACCAAGGCUUCGACGGGUAGCUGGUCUGAGAGGACGAUCAGCCACACUGGCACUGCGACACGGGCCAGACUCCUACGGGAGCAGCAGUAAGGAAUAUUGCGCAAUGGGCGAAAGCCUGACGCAGCGACGCCGCGUGGGGGAUGAAGGUCUUCGGAUUGUAAACCCCUUUCGGGAGGGAAGAUGGAACGAGCAAUCGUUCGGACGGUACCUCCAGAAGCAGCCACGGCUAACUUCGUGCCAGCAGCCGCGGUAAG
rnacentral:rRNA from 1 species